UGGGGAAUAUUGCACAAUGGGGGAAACCCUGAUGCAGCGACGCCGCGUGGAGGAAGAAGGUCUUCGGAUUGUAAACUCCUGUUGUUGGGGAAAAUAAGGAUGGUACCCAACAAGGAAGUGACGGCUAACUACGUGCCAGCAGCCGCGGUAAAACGUAGGUCACAAGCGUUGUCCGGAAUUACUGGGUGUAAAGGGAGCGCAGGCGGGUAUGCAAGUUGGAAGUGAAAUACAUGGGCUCAACCCAUGAACUGCUUUCAAAACUGUGUAUCUUGAGUAGUGCAGAGGUAGGCGGAAUUCCCGGUGUAGCGGUGGAAUGCGUAGAUAUCGGGAGGAACACCAGUGGCGAAGGCGGCCUACUGGGCACCAACUGACGCUGAGGCUCGAAAGUGUGGGUAGCAAACAGGAUUAGAUACCC
rnacentral:rRNA from 1 species